UGACUGGGGGGACAUGGCGCGAAGUAGGGGUCUGGAUCGGGGAUCUCGUGGAGUCACGGCCCCUUUUGCUCCUAGAACCGGGCGGCCCGAGUACGCGUAAGCAAGGGGGACAAGCCGGUGACCUACGAGGAGGCACACGCGCCGCACUACAUCGCCCACCGUAAAGGCUGGCUGUCGCUGCACACAGGUAACCUGGAUGGAGAGGACCAUGCCGCAGAGCGAACGGUGGAGGAUGUUUUCCUUCGCAAGUUCAUGUGGGGUACCUUCCCAGGCUGCCUGGCUGACCAGCUGGUUUUAAAGCGCCGGGGUAACCAGUUGGAGAUCUGUGCCGUGGUCCUGAGGCAGUUGUCUCCACACAAGUACUACUUCCUCGUGGGCUACAGUGAAACUUU
rnacentral:lncRNA from 1 species